AUCAUAAAUUCUUCUAUCAUGGGAUUUGAAACCAAAGGUUUAGGCUUAUCUUAUGUAAUGUCUUGUUUAAAUGAUUUAAAUAAUACAUUUAACGGACAAGUAUGGGGUUAUAAUGAACCAGGUUUAAUAACACGAUUUUCUGAAAAAAAAUGUAAAACCAAAAACUUUAGUAUAUUAAAGAUUAUACAGUUCUUCCCCCAAAUAUGUUCAAUGCUAUUUCUUGGAAUGAAUGGCAAAAGUAUUUUAACGAAACAUGUAUGGAACAAUCUUAGCAAACGAUUUAAGCUUUCCUUGAAUUCGAAUGCGACAUAUAUGACACUGGCCAAGAAAUUUUGUCCUAAUAUAAUUAAAGAUCUAUGUGAUAUUUUUUAGUCAUAUAUUUCAAAUUAUUAGAAAUUGCUGUAUUUUCAGUUGAAAUAAAAUAUCAGCUCUGAAGUGACUUAAAUUAGGCAUUGAUUAACGAUAUUUUUAAAGCUGUUAAAUAUUUAUAUUAAUAAUUUUAAUUAGUUGUAAAUCUAUAAAUAAAUAAAUACUCUAUAAU